UGACUGCCUAGCGGGCAGGGAACGCAUUUUAUGUGGUUUCUUGACUGCCUAGCGGGCAGGGAACGCAUUUUAUGUGGUUUCUUGACUGCCUAGCGGGCAGGGAACGCAUUUUAUGUG